UACGUAGGGUGCGAGCGUUAAUCGGAAUUACUGGGCGUAAAGCGUGCGCAGGCGGUCCGCAAAGUCUGAUGUGAAAGCCCCGGGCUCAACCUGGGAACUGCAUUGGAAACUAACGGGCUCGAGUGUGGCAGAGGGGGGUGGAAUUCCACGUGUAGCAGUGAAAUGCGUAGAGAUGUGGAGGAAUACCGGUGGCGAAGGCGGCAUCCUGGACCGACAUUGACGCUGAGGAGCGAAAGCUAGGGGAGCAAACGGG
rnacentral:rRNA from 1 species